CUUAACAUUUUAUCUGUCUCACUCGUUUCUCUCUGUUAUCAUCUCAUCAGCUGUUACAGGUCAGAGUAUGGAGUCCAUUCCUUCCAGUCCUGUAGUGAAAAGGCCUGGGGAGACUCCCAGUCUCUCCUGUAGAGGAUCUUGUUUCACAUUUUCGCUGCUGUUCUAUGGAUGGUAUAAGACAGCAACCAGGAAAAGAGCCGGAAUGGAUAGGAGAAGGCUUUUUUAACUUCCAGCAGAAACAGAUAUGUGAGCUGUUUGAGUGGACAUAUAGAAUUACCAAAGACAACAGCAACAGUGUAAAGUGUGAACAACUGACACAGCCAGGCUCUGUGACUGUGCAUCCAGGGGCUCGUCUGACCAUCACCUGUCAGGCGUCUUAUUCUCUUAGCAGCGCUCGAACAUUUUGGAUCAGACAACCUGCAGGAAAAGAACUGGAGUGCAUUGGUAGUGUACAUAUUGGACACAGCACAUGGUACAAAGACUCACUAAAGAACAAGUUUAGUAUCGACAUAGACUCUUCCAACAGGAUCGUGACUCUGAUUGGACAGAAUGUGCAGCCUGAAGACUCUGCUGUGUAUUACUGUGCCAGAGAACCACCCACAGUAACACAAAGCAUCAUGAGACCUGAACAAAAACCCCUCAGUGACUGAACACAUGAAGCCACAAGAGGAUGAGCCCUCAGACCACCAAUGAUUUCAGGUCAGCACAAUAAGAAGAAAUAAAAUGUCACUUAAAA